rnacentral:rRNA from 1 species
AAGUCGGAUGUGAAAUCCCCGGGCUCAAACUGGGAAAUGCAUUCGAAACUGGCAGGCUAGAGUCUUGUAGAGGGGGGUAGAAUUCCAGGUGUAGCGGUGAAAUGCGUAGAGAUCUGGAGGAAUACCGGUGGCGAAGGCGGCCCCCUGGACAAAGACUGACGCUCAGGUGCGAAAGCGUGGGGAGCAAACAGGAUUAGAUACCCUGGUAGUCCACGCCGUAAACGAUGUCGA